AUUGAACGCUGGCGGCAUGCUUUACACAUGCAAGUCGAACGGUAACAGGCCGCAAGGUGCUGACGAGUGGCGAACGGGUGAGUAAUGCAUCGGAACGUGCCCAGUCGUGGGGGAUAACGCAGCGAAAGCUGUGCUAAUACCGCAUACGAUCUAUGGAUGAAAGCGGGGGACCGUAAGGCCUCGCGCGAUUGGAGCGGCCGAUGUCAGAUUAGGUAGUUGGUGGGGUAAAGGCCUACCAAGCGGACGAUCUGUAGCUGGUCUGAGAGGACGACCAGCCACACGGGGACUGAGACACGGCCCAGACUCCUACGGGAGGCAGCAGUGGGGAAUUUUGGACAAUGGGCGCAAGCCUGAUCCAGCAAUGCCGCGUGCAGGAAGAAGGCCUUCGGGUUGUAAACUGCUUUUGUACGGAACGAAACGGUCUGGGUUAAUACCCUGGGCUAAUGACGGUACCGUAAGAAUAAGCACCGGCUAACUACGUGCCAGCCGCCGCGGUAAGAC
rnacentral:rRNA from 1 species